UUGUAACACCCGUCUCACCCUCUCUCGGGAACGGUGUGCCACGUGUAACAUCCGUCUCACCCUCUCUCGGGAACGGCAUGUUACCAUAAUUCACUUUACAACAAAUAACUCUUUUUCCAUAAACAUCCAAUUCUUUAUUAAAUACCAAGGCAAAAAUCCGAUAAAACAUACUAAAUCCAAAUAAGUCGAUAACACAACUGUUUAUUAAAAGUCUCGAAUAAAAAGGCGGAAAACGAGAAUCCAUCCCAAAUGACACACCCCGACUCAUCAAGUCAUAACUACUCGUCUGGCUCACCUGAAAUGGGGAAAGAGGGGUGAGCAACAGGGGAGUCGCUCAGUGAGGUAUGGGAUGCUAAUCCGCAUGUCACUGACUCAGCCAAGAAACUAAUCGCAAAAUAAUGGAGUACCAAAUAUGAGCAAACACAGCACCUACAGUGCUCAAUCAACAUACAAUUUUCCUAUUAAGGAAUAGUGGCCAAUCACAUCCUCAACGAGAUCAUUUAUGGGAUAGUGCCCAAUCACACCCUCUAACGAGGUAAUUUCUGGGAUAGUGCCCACGCACACCCUCUAACGAGGUAAUUUCUGGGAUAGUGCCCACGCACACCCUCUAACGAGGUAAUUUCUGGGAUAGUGCCCACGCACACCGCCCCUGGGACGCUUAUCGAUCUUAAGGUGCAGGGCAACAGAUCGAUUAUGUAUUGCCCUCACCCCUACCUCAAACAAUGCGGCACCAUACAGAAGUUCUUUUAUCUGUAUCCGCUAUAUCUCAAUAUAAUAUAUAUAUAUAUAUAUAUAUAUAUAUAUAUAUAUAUAUAUAUAUAUAUAUAUAUAACUAACAACAAACAUUUAAUAGUAUGUGACAAACAAAUGGGUUUAAUCAUCUAUCUUCCUAUGUCCAAUUUAAGCAAUCAAACUAACUAGACUCGAUCAUUGAAACACAUCACAUUCAGUGUUGCACUAUUCGUAAAUUAGAAUUCUCGAACAGAGCACAGCGGUUUGGAAAUAGCCCUCACCUUAGCAAUGCUGAAACUACGACUUCUGGACCUCGAAUGAAUAAACCGACUCCGGAUCUGAAAUCGGA
rnacentral:lncRNA from 1 species